rnacentral:rRNA from 1 species
UACAGAGGUCUCAAGCGUUGUUCGGAUUCAUUGGGCGUAAAGGGUGUGUAGGUGGCGCCGUAAGUCGGGUGUGAAAUCUCGGGGCUUAACUCCGAAACUGCAUUCGAUACUGCGGUGCUUGAGGACUGGAGAGGAGUACUGGAAUUCAUGGUGUAGCAGUGAAAUGCGUAGAGAUCAUGAGGAAGACCAGUGGCGAAGGCGGGUCUCUGGACAAGUUCCGUGACACUGGAGACACGAAGGCCAGGGGAGCAAACGGG